UAGAGCUUGGAGAGCUCUGGGUAAGCUGACAAAAUAAGAUUCUGGGGCUGAAACGCUGAGUAUGUGACCUUGAUCUAUA
rfam:Loxodonta africana cont3.62177, whole genome shotgun sequence.